rnacentral:rRNA from 1 species
UCAUAUGCUUGUCUUAAAGAUUAAGCCAUGCAUGUCUAAGUAUAAGCUUUUAUACGGCUAAACUGCGAAUGGCUCAUUAAAACAGUUAUAGUUUAUUUGAUGGUCUUUACUACAUGGAUAACCGUGGUAAUUCUAUGGCUAAUACAUGCGCACAUGCCUCUUCCCCUGGAAGGGCAGUGUUUAUUAGAUACAGAACCAACCCACCUUCCGGUGGUCCUCAGGUGAUUCAUAGUAACCGAACGGAUCGCGUUGACUUCGGUCUGCGACGGAUCAUUCAAGUUUCUGACCUAUCAGCUUUCGACGGUACUGUAUUGGACUACCGUGGCAGUGACGGGUAACGGGGAAUUAGGGUUCGAUUCCGGAGAGGGAGCCUGAGAAACGGCUACCACAUCUAAGGAAGGCAGCAGGCGCGCAAAUUACCCAAUCCUGAUUCAGGGAGGUAGUGACAAGAAAUAACAACACUGGAAAUUUCAUUUCUAGUGAUUGGAAUGAUAGGAAUCCAAACCCCUUUCAGAGUUACAUUUGUAGGGCAAGUCUGGUGCCAGCAGCCGCGGUAUUCCAGCUCCCAUAGCGUAUAUUAAAGUUGUUGCAGU